UACAGAGGUCCCGAGCGUUGUUCGGAUUCAUUGGGCGUAAAGGGUGCGUAGGCGGUUUGCUAAGUUUGAUGUGAAAGCCCGGGGCUCAACCCUGGAAUUGCAUUGAAUACUGGCGGACUAGAGUACUGGAGAGGAAACUGGAAUUUACGGUGUAGCAGUGAAAUGCGUAGAGAUCGUAAGGAAUACCGAUGGCGAAGGCAGCCCCCUGGGAUAACACUGACGCUCAUGCACGAAAGCGUGGGGAGCAAACAGG
rnacentral:rRNA from 1 species